rnacentral:rRNA from 1 species
UACAGAGGUCUCAAGCGUUGUUCGGAUUCAUUGGGCGUAAAGGGCGCGUAGGCUGCGGGGCAAGUCGGGUGUGAAAUCUCAGAGCUCAACUCUGAAACUGCACUCGAUACUGCUUUGCUUGAGGACUGGAGAGGAGAUUGGAAUUCACGGUGUAGCAGUGAAAAUGCGUAGAUAUCGUGAGGGAAAGACCAGUGGCGAAGGCGGAUCUCUGGACAGUUUCCUGACGCUGAGGGCGCGAAGGGCC